CGUAGGGUGCGAGCGUUAAUCGGAAUUACUGGGCGUAAAGUGUGCGCAGGUGGCCGCGCAUGUCGAGUGUGAAAUCCCCGGGCUUAACUUGGGAAUUGCGCUCGAAACUACGUGGCUAGAGUGUGGCAGAGGAAGGUGGAAUUCCACGUGUAGCGGUGAAAUGCGUAGAGAUGUGGAGGAACACCGAUGGCGAAGGCAGCCUUCUGGGCCAACACUGACGCUCAUGCACGAAAGCGUGGGGAGCAAACAGGAUUAGAUACCCUGGUAGUCCACGCCCUAAACGAUGAUGACUAGUUGUUGGAGGAGUUAAAUCCUUUAGUAACGCAGCUAACGCGUGAAGUCAUCCGCCUGGGGAGUACGGUCGCAAGAUUA
rnacentral:rRNA from 1 species